rnacentral:tmRNA from 1 species
GGGGGUGUCAAGGUUUCGACAGAGUAGACCUUUGAUUUAAAGUGCGAGUCGAGGAGCUGCCAGGCCUCGUUAAAAGGCAGGAAAAAACAAACGCAAAACCAAAUAGUUUUGUUGGAGUAACUUCUACUCCACAACGUUUAGCUGCUUAAUUAAGUUCAGCUAACCAUAAUAAGGCGAAGGUUGGCUACCCUUAUUAUGAUUUUCGCCAACUAGCCUAAAGUUAACUAACAAAAGACUCUAGGCGAAUCUGCUUGUUACUCCAUUCUCUAACCCUGUCGCUGGGGAUGUGGAUGGUAAGAUUUAAACAGUGACUACACUCGUAGUACUUUUUUUCUAAGCUAUUCUGGACACCGGUUCAAUUCCGGUCACCUCCACCA